AAGGUUCGAUUCGAGCGCAGCGAGAAAGCGUUGCCGUAGGCAACGACCCGAAGGGCGAAGCGCGCAGCGCUGAGUAAUCCUUCCCCCGUCAUCC
rnacentral:sRNA from 3 species